CCCAGUGAGAUACAACCACGCCGGCCCCUUGAUCAGGUGGACUGGUGGCUCCGGCCGACCGGGGGACGGGACUCCUUCAGCGAACGAGGUGGCACCGCCCGACGGUAUUCCGGGUUCUCUUUCGUGACGGCAACUCGGCCCCCCCGGGUGGCUGGGCUACAACCAGAGCCAGACUCCGUGGAGGGACGGACAGACUCACCAAUUGGCCGUCCGGACAAGGGUCAAGAGAGCGACUGCACCUCAGACGGAGGGUCCCUGAAAAAUUGAGAGUGUCCCGGGAGACCCGCUCAAGAUCAAGAUCAAAAGGGACCAGAAAAGGAUCGACGAGCCCUGCUCUAGCCACACCCGGAAGCUGGCUAGUCAACGCACGGCCGAAGCUUGAGGAAAGCUCAACGCAGCUGUUAAAUGUAUUUCUUUUGUGCUCCCUUGCCUCUUUCCUUGUUUGCUAUACCAGUCUGCGUACUAGCAGUGGGGCUAGCUAGCGCCGCCCCACCUGACUGGAACAUAGGCCAUAGAAUCCUGAUACCUAUUUUAUAUCUUGUUAUAAUUAGUGCCAUCACCGCAGCAUCAUGUCUAAGAAAAUCAUAAGGCUGAUGCUACUGACGCUAAUGCCCUCACUCCCCUUGGCUGCACAAUGCACCUGCAUGGAACCGAGUGACAGGUGGUCCAUGUACCGGCCUGUAUUUUCAGCUUAUAUUUAUCAGCCGAGUCAAUGCUAUGACUCCACUUCAGAGUGCACAUAUCAGGGAAAAUCCUACUGGAUUGGCACAAUUAAGGCUUAUUAUCUAUCUAGCAUCAAAUGCUAUGGCACACCCGGCAAGCUGGUGUGCUGGACCAAGCAAACACAUUAUGGGAUGAGUGAUGGAGGAGGGGUACAGGACCAGGCAUGCCGGCAAGCAGUCCAACAAGCAGUCCAGAGGCAACACCAGAAGUUAUUACCUACCCGGAAGCCAAUAAAACUUCCAUCUUUAGCUGAGCCUCGGGAUCUGGAUCCACAAAUAAAUGGGCUGUUAGCCGCAGUCCAUGGGAUUCUCAAUCAUUCCAAUCCAGACCUGGCUAAAGAUUGCUGGCUAUGCUUGCAUCCUGGCCCCAUCCAGCACCUGGCUUACCUCUGACAAACCUCACUAAGACUUUCACCAUAACUCAUAGCGAUGCCAUUUCUACAACUAGGAGUUCCAGGCUGAACUAGGUACAGCUCGCUUACAAGGCACCAGAAUGUUAUUUCAACAAUGGAACUAAUCCUUUAGAGGGCAAUCUAACUAUAAAUCAAUGUAUUAAAACCUCUCACUGUAUGGGUCUAGGGUGCCAACCCACACAAAGAUGGUGUUCUAAUAAUGGGACUUAUUUUGUGUGUGGCAAAUUUGCCUACCGGUGCCUCCCUGCCAGAUGGGCAGGGUUGUGUGCUUUGGCUUAUCUCACUCCCCGAAUGGACAUUAUGCCUAAUAAUCAAAGUCUGCCCAUCACUGUCAUAACUCACCAGCAUCCACGGAGAGUAAAACGAGCUAUACAAUUUAUCCCUUUGCUAGUGGGGCUCGGAGUGGCAACAGGGGUAGGCACAGGAAUCGGGGACAUCACCUCUUCCUCUUAUUACUAUUAUCAGCUUACAGGUGAAUUCAGCCACGAUCUCCAAUGAAUAGCAGAAACCCUGGGAACUCUGCAAAAUCAGAUUGAUUCUCUGGCCGAGGUGGUCUUACAAAACAGGAGGGGUCUGGACUUACUCACGGCCAAAGAGGGGGGACUAUGCCUCUUCCUAAACGAAGAGUGCUGUUUUUAUGCCAAUCAAUCAGGAAUUGUCAGAGGAAUGGUUCAAGAGUUACAAGACUGAGUGGAAAAGAGAAAACAUAUUUUAGAUAAGAGCCCAUGGACAGGCCCCUGGGGCUGGACCUCCUGGCUGGCACCGUUCAUAGGUCCCUUACUCCUGAUUUUUGCAGUUCUGCUAUUUGGGCCCUGUGUCCUAAACUUCCUGACCCGCUUUGUCAGUGAGCAAAUAGAGGCUAUAAAACUUCAGAUGUUAGCCUCCAAUUAUGAGCCCCUGCAACAGGUAAAUGAUGAUGCUUACCCCAACAAGGGUUGUGAAAGCAUCAAGAGGGGGGAAUGUGAAGGAAAAGCCCAGCUGGGCUAACAAGCUGAGUCACAAAUCUAAGUGUAACAAGUGUCAGAUUACUGAUCUGAGUUCUGCUGAGCUAACUGGUAAAUCUGAAGUUUAGUGUUAGUUUACUGGGCUAACAAGCUAACUCGUAAAUCCAAGCUCAACAAGUGUCAGUAACGUGAUCUGUUCCGAAUUGAUAAGCUUCAGUGUACUGAUUCCUUGCUUUUUGUUGUUUGAGCCUUAUUGGCUAAUAGCCCAUACUUGUAAUUAACCCUAUAAAACCUCAUGUGCACGUCUUGGAGGUGCUCAGAGCUUCGGAGCAGAAGCCCCUCUGAGCCCGCCGGCGUAAUAAAUCUGAGUACUCCAACCGUCA